rnacentral:misc_RNA from 1 species
ACGAGAACUUGCCCCCCGGGGUAGAUCUCCCACCCUCUGUUUACAUACUUUGUUGCUUUGGCAGGCCCGUCUCCGGACCGCCGGCUUCGGCUGGCCCGUGCCUGCCAGAGGAUUAAAACUCUGAUAAUUAUGUCGUCUGAGUACUAUUAUAAAUAGUUA